GACGGAGGAUGCAAGUGUUAUCCGGAAUCACUGGGCGUAAAGCGUCUGUAGGUUGUUUAAAAAGUCUGCAGUUAAAGGUUGAAGCUUAACUUCAAAAAUGCCGUAGAAACUUUUAAACUAGAGGAUGGUAGGGGUAGAGGGAAUUUCCAGUGGAGCGGUGAAAUGUGUAGAUAUCGGAAAGAACACCAACGGCGAAAGCACUCUGCUGGGCCGACACUGACACUGAGAGACGAAAGCUAGGGGAGCGAAUGGG
rnacentral:rRNA from 1 species